rnacentral:piRNA from 1 species
UGUUGGCUGAUUGGGGUAUUGUCAAUGGG